GUUAAUUAGAGUUUGAUGAUGGCUCUGAAUGAACGCUAUCCAAAUGCUUGACACAUGCUAAUCGAACGUCUAAUUAAAUAUAAAUUUAAUAAUUAUUAAAUUUAUAUUUAAUAUGAAGUGGUGUACAGGUGAGUAAAAGGUAUUCUAACUACCUUAAAGUAAGGAAGAAAAAAUCCCUUAUAAUUCAAAAAAGAAAAAUAAAAAUUCGCUUUAAGAUGUUAGUAAAUAUCCCGGAGGAGUAGUAGAGAAAAUCUAGCUCAAGAUCCGGUAGUCGAGACUGAAAGGUCGAUCGACCACACUGGGCCUGAAAAAAGCCCAGGGCAUAAUUGCACAGCAGUGGGGAAUAUUGGUCAAUAGCCAAACGGCUGAACCAGCAACUUGGAAGAACGAAAAAUGAUUAAGUCAUAUAAAGUUCUAGAUAAAAUAAAGAGAAUGACUAUUUUUUAUCUAUAAGUCUUGACCAAAUUACGUGCCAGCAGUCGCGGUAAUACGUAGAAGACUAGUGUUAUUCAUCUUUAAUCGGUAUAAAGGGUACCUAGACAGAAUACCAAGCUAUUUUAGGAACUAGUAUUCUAGAGUUUUAUGUAGGAAUAUACGAAUUACCAGAGGAGAGUCAAAAUUUUAUGAUACUGGUAGGACGGGUAACGGCGAAGGCUAUAUUCUAAGUAAAAACUGACGUUGAGGGACGAAGCCUUGGGCAGCGAUAAGGAUUAGAUACCCUAGUAGUCCUUGGAGACAAUGAUGAGUGCCAUAAACUAGAAUGAUUUAGUUUAUAAACGAAAGUGUAAGCACUCCACCUCAUGACUAAGGCGGAAAUGCACAAAUUGAAAUCAUUAGACCGUUUCUGAAACCAGUAGUGAAGUAUGUUAUUUAAUUCGAUGAUCCGCGAAUAACCUUACCACGUUUUGAAUAAUAUUAUAAAUAUUACAAGCGCUGCACGGCUGUCUUCAGUUAAUGUCGUGAGAUUUUGGUUAAUUCCUUUAAUUAACGAAAACCCUUGCUUUACUUGUUUUUAAAGUAUUUUUCCAUAAAGGGAAAAAGUAAUAGGGACCAAGACAAGUCAUCAUGGCCUUAAUAACGUGGGCUAUAGACGUGCCACAUAUACCUCUACAAAGGGAUGCAAUAUUGCAAAAUGGAGCUAAUCCCAUAAAAUUGGAUAUAACUAAUCGUGAAUUGUAGUCUGAAAUUCGACUACAUGAAUACGGAAUUACUAGUAAUCGUGAAUCACCACGUCACGGUGAAUUUUAUCUCAGAUGGGUACUAACUACUCGUCAGGCGCUGAAAGAAGUGUGCGCAAUAAGUUUGGUUGCAUAUCUUUUCUUUUUUUACUUAAAUAGUUGUAAAUUUCUAGAUAUGCGAUUUUCGUAUGCGUGACUUCGAUUGGUGUUAAGUCGAAAUAUGGUUCGUGUAAUGGAAAUUGCACGGGAUGUAUUAUCCUU
rnacentral:rRNA from 1 species